rnacentral:rRNA from 1 species
CCCAGACUCCUACGGGAGGCAGCAGUGGGGGAUAUUGCACAAUGGGGGGAACCCUGAUGCAGCGACGCCGCGUGGGUGAAGGAGCGUUUCGGCGCGUAAAGCCCUCUCGGCAGGGAAGAAGGAGGACGGUACCUGACUAAGAAGCCCCGGCUAACUACGUGCCAGCAGCCGCGGUAAUACGUAGGGGGCAAGCGUUAUCCGGAUUUACUGGGUGUAAAGGGGGCGCAGACGGCAGCGCAAGCCAGGAGUGAAAGCCCGGGGCCCAACCCCGGGACUGCUCUUGGAACUGCGCGGCUGGAGUGCAGGAGGGGCAGGCGGAAUUCCUGGUGUAGCGGUGAAAUGCGUAGAUAUCAGGAGGAACACCGGUGGCGAAGGCGGCCUGCUGGACUACAACUGACGUUGAGGCCCGAAAGCGUGGGGAGCAAACAGGAUUAGAUACCCUCGUAA